rnacentral:rRNA from 1 species
AACGCCGCGUGUGGGAUGACGCCCUUCGGGGUGUAAACCACUUUUCUUGGGGACGAAGCAGUGACGGUACCCGAGGAAGAAGGCCCGGCUAACUACGUGCCAGCAGCCGCGGUAAUACGUAGGGGCCGAGCGUUGUCCGGAGUUACUGGGCGUAAAGCGCGCGCCGGCGGCUCAUCAAGCCUGACGUGAAAGCCCCCGGCUCAACCGGGGAGGGUCGUCGGGGACUGAUGGGCUUGAGGUCGGCAGGGGUUGGUGGAAUUCCCGGUGUAGUGGUGAAAUGCGUAGAGAUCGGGAGGAACACCCGUGGCGAAGGCGGCCAACUGGGCCGGACCUGACGCUGAGGCGCGAAGGCGUGGGGAGCGAACGGGAUUAGAUACCCCGGUAGUCCACGCAGUAAACGAUGCAGACUAGGCGUGGGGGGACUUGACCCCCUCCGUGCCGAAGCCAACGCAUGAAGUCUGCCGCCCUGCGAGACGGCGCACGUGG